UACGUAGGGUCCGAGCGUUGUCCGGAAUUACUGGGCGUAAGAGCUCGUAGGUGGUUUGUCGCGUUGUUCGUGAAAACCUCACAGCGUCAACUGUGGCGUGCGGCGGAUACGGGCAGACUAGAGUACUGCAGGGGAGACUGGAAUUCCGUGGGUGUAGCGGUGAAAUGCGCAGAUAGUCAGGAGGAACACCGGUGGCGAAGGCGGGUCUCUGGGGCCGAUAACUGACGCUG
rnacentral:rRNA from 1 species